UGUUUCGGCUAGGGGGUCAUCCCGACUUACCAACCCGAUGCAAACUACGAAUACCGAAGAAUGUUAUCACGGGAGACACACGGCGGGUGCUAACGUCCGUCGUGAAGAGGGAAACAACCCAGACCGCCAGCUAAGGUCCCAAAGUCAUGGUUAAGUGGGAAACGAUGUGGGAAGGCACAGACAGCCAGGAUGUUGGCUUAGAAGCAGCCAUCAUUUAAAGAAAGCGUAAUAGCUCACUGGUCGAGUCGGCCUGCGCGGAAGAUGUAACGGGGCUAAACCAUGCACCGAAGCUGCGGCAGCGACACUAUGUGUUGUUGGGUAGGGGAGCGUUCUGUAAGCCUGCGAAGGUGUGCUGUGAGGCAUGCUGGAGGUAUCAGAAGUGCGAAUGCUGACAUAAGUAACGAUAAAGCGGGUGAAAAGCCCGCUCGCCGGAAGACCAAGGGUUCCUGUCCAACGUUAAUCGGGG
rnacentral:rRNA from 1 species